AGCUUUGGUUAUUUAUAAAAAGACAAUGAUAUUGAACAUAUUUUGUUAUGGAAAAUGAAAAAAACUAGAGGAAAUUUGAGACCCACAAAAAAAAAAAAAAAACCAACAUUUUCAUGAUAGACUCUACUUUUUUUUUAAAAAAAUAAAUUGUGCGAGAACACAUCCUAUAACUAUAUCUAAAAUUACUUUUUACUUGUUUAGUUGAAUUCUCAUGCAAAGGAGUCAUAUCCGCGUCCUUGAUGUCUGUUUUUUAAUCGAUAAAAUUUUUUUAUUGAGCGUAAAAUAGACCAAGGCCGAGCAUACGGAACAUAUACAAGAGCUUCGCCUAUGCAUGCUAGUUUAGCGAUACAAAGAAGUUAUGAAAAGACAUGCUAGUAAAAUCAAUUACAAUGAACCAAUAGAGUAAAGUGUUGAAAAAUAACUAAGCUCAUCCAUUGGCCACUUUCGAUCUUUAAAGUUUCUUGCAUUUCUCUCCCUCCAAAUACACCACCAUAGACAAAUUUGGACCAUCUUCCUCAAUGUCUGUUAGCCUUGGUUCUGCUAACUCAUCAAGAUGCAAAACUAAACUGUGACUGUAUCUUUGACCUUUUCGCUCUUUUCCAAUCUGUAUAUAUUAUUGAAGUACGGCUGAUAUUUGAUAGUGGGUGGAGAUAUGAACUACACGAUUAGUGGCAGCCUGAACUCACUGCUGGCGGGGGGAGUAUCAGCCUCACUACUGUAUUAUGUUUAUGCUACACUUCCCACAAAACCCGUUCUUGCAUCAUCCAUAGGGCUUGGCCUGUCUGUUGCACUUUUGGGAGUGAUGGGUAGUUGUUUUGAGAAAUUUGGGAAGAUAUAUCCACGUGUUGUAUCUUUGGUGUCGCUUAUAAUGACCGUUGGUUACUUUGGGAUUAUGCGGAGUCCACGCUGAAAUGUUUACAAGCGAGACUCUAGUUAUCUGCUGAGUCUGUAUGGUACUCGCCAACUUUGAUCGAAUUAUAUCUCAUCCAGUAGCCAGGAUUAGUGUGUUCACAUGUCUUCUGUGUUAUAAUAUGCAUAUUGUCUGC